rnacentral:tRNA from 1 species
ACCUGGCUGGCUCAGUUGGUGGAGCAUGUGACUUUUGAUCUUCAGGUGGUGGAUUCGAGCACCAUGUUGGGUG